UUCAAAUGGCAUGUUGAAAAUUUUUUAUACUUUUCUCAAAAAUCAGUGGGGGGAAAAAUCAACCAAUUUAUCUUUCAUUUUUGCACUGGUAUGUAACUUUAUAUGUGAUUAUAAACAUUAUAAACUUUGACGCAGGAAGGCCUCGUUGUCAUCACCCUAAUCUUUAUCUCCAUCACCAAAGCGCUAAUAUUAUUUCCAGUCAGGAAACAAGGUUGGUAAAAAUCUAACAGUACUUUAAACCAAAAUCUGCCAAGAGUAUGAAGGCUGUAAUUGUGGGAUUACCUCCAGGAUCAGAGCGGUGAAACUGCACUGGUUUACACAUAAUUACUCAAGCAUAGUCACCAAACCUC